rnacentral:rRNA from 1 species
CUACGGGAGGCUGCAGUGGGGAAUAUUGCACAAUGGAGGAAACUCUGAUGCAGCAACGCCGCGUGGAGGAUGACACUUUUCGGAGCGUAAACUCCUUUUAUAUAGGAAGAAGAUGACGGUACUAUAUGAAUAAGCGCCGGCUAACUCCGUGCCAGCAGCCGCGGUAAUACGGAGGGCGCAAGCGUUACUCGGAAUCACUGGGCGUAAAGAGCGUGUAGGCGGAUUAAAAAGUCAGAAGUGAAAUCCUAUAGCUUAACUAUAGAACUGCUUCUGAAACUCUUAAUCUAGAAUAUGGGAGAGGUAGGUGGAAUUCCUGGUGUAGGGGUAAAAUCCGUAGAGAUCAGAAGGAAUACCGAUUGCGAAGGCGAUCUACUAGAACAUUAUUGACGCUGAGACGCGAAAGCGUGGGGAGCAAACAGGAUUAGAUACCCGCGUAGUC